AAGUCGUAACAAGGUUUCCGUAGGUGAACCUGCGGAAGGAUCAUUAACAAAUUCUAAUUCAACCACCUGUGAACCAACCCUUUGGGGUGUUGGAUGUAAUGUCUGACAAAUUAACUAUACCAAUGUCUAUUUUAAAAAUUAAAUUUAAAACAACUUUUAACAAUGGAUCUCUUGGCUCUU
rnacentral:misc_RNA from 1 species